rnacentral:rRNA from 1 species
CGGUUAAAAAGCUCGUAGUUGGAUCUCGGCGGGCAGGGGGUGGUUCGCUCUUCAGCGCUACUGCCCCGCUUUGCCCGUGUGAUUGGCGGAGGUUUCGGGGUGCUCUUCGUUGAGUGACUCGGAGCGCCGUCAGGUUUACUUUGAAAAAAUUAGAGUGCUCAAAGCAGGCUUUUCACGCUUGAAUAUUCGUGCAUGGAAUAAUGGAAUAGGAACUCGUUUCUAUUUUGUUGGUUUUCGGAAAUCGAGUUAAUGAUUAACAGGGACAAUUGGGGGCAUUAGUAUUCAGACGACAGAGGUGAAAUUCUUGGACCGUCUGAAGACUGACUACUGCGAAAGCAUUUGCCAAGAGUGUUUUCAUUAAUCAAGAACGAAAGUUAGAGGUUCGAAGGCGAUCAGAUACCGCCCUAGUUCUAACCAUAAACGAUGCCAGCUAGCGAUCUGCCGAGUUUUUUUUGUAGGCUCCGCAGGAAGCUUUCGGGAAACCAAAGCUUUUGGGUUCCGGGGGAAGUAUGGUUGCAAAGCUGAAACUUAAAGGAAUUGACGGAAGGGCACCACCAGGAGUGGAGCCUGCGGCUUAAUUUGACUCAACACGGGAAAUCUCACCAGGCCCGGACACUGGAAAGGAUUGACAGAUUGAGAGCUCUUUCUCGAUUCGGUGGGUGGUGGUGCAUGGCCGUUCUUAGUUGGUGGAGUGAUUUGUCUGGUUAAUUCCGAUAAC